UAAUACGUAGGUGGCAAGCGUCGUCCGGAUUUACUGGGCGUAAAGGGCUCGUAGGCGGCCAACUAAGUCGGACGUGAAAUCCCCAGGCUCAACCUGGGAACUGCGUCCGAUACUGGAUGGCUUGAAUCCGGGAGAGGGAUGCAGAAUUCCAGGUGUAGCGGUGAAAUGCGUAGAUAUCUGGAGGAAUACCGGUGGCGAAGGCGGCAUCCUGGACCGGCAUUGACGCUGAGGAGCGAAAGCCAGGGGAGCAAACGGGA
rnacentral:rRNA from 1 species